GGGAGGGGCUGGGCAAUCGCGGCGCCAAGGGUUGUAAAACCAGGCAUCGAGGAAGGUCCGGACUCCACAGGGCAGGAUAACGGCUAACGGCCGUCCGGUGCGCAAGUGCCGAGGACUAGGGCCACAGAGACGAGUCUGCUGUGAGGGUGGGUUAGGACUCACUCCGCCACGGUCACACCGUGGCGCAUGAUCGCUUUGGCGACCAACGCAGCAGGGUGAAACGCGGCAACCUCUAUCCGGAGCAACACCAAAUAGGCAUGCGUGCGUCUUUGGACGUGAAGGGCGGCCCGCCCAAGCAUGCGGGUAGGUGGCUAGAGUGCACCAGUAAUGGUUCACCCAGAGGAAUGAUUGCCAGCCACUGUGAAGUGGCCUACAGAAUCCGGCCUACAGGCUUCUCCCGUAU
rnacentral:RNase_P_RNA from 1 species